UACGAAGGGGGCUAGCGUUGUUCGGAAUCACUGGGCGUAAAGGGCGCGUAGGCGGGCUACCAAGUCAGGGGUGAAAUCCUGCGGCUCAACCGUAGAAGUGCCUUUGAUACUGGUGGUCUUGAGGGAGGUAGGGGCGUGCGGAACUUCCGGUGGAGCGGUGAAAUGCGUAGAUAUCGGAAGGAACACCGGUGGCGAAAGCGGCGCGCUGGACCUCUUCUGACGCUGAGGCGCGAAAGCCAGGGGAGCGAACGGG
rnacentral:rRNA from 1 species